UAGGUAGAUUUAUAAUCAGUAUUUUAAUAUUAAAUAUUGACUAACUGACAACUCAAAAUUACAGAGUUUAGCAGGUAUUUUGGGGGAGGAUGUUGAGAAGACAGUUAACACAAUCAGAUCAAAACCCAUUAUUACAGUCAUAGACCAGCAUAAGAAGAAUGGGGAUAUAAACAAUUAGUAAUUUUAAAAGCUAAAAAGUUUAAAACACUCCAGAUUUAAAAUUUCUGGUUUUUUUUCAGAUAACAUAAAUCUUUUGCAGUUAUAUUUUUUGAAGGAUUCUGACAUGAAGCUUGACUCACUUUGGAUUUUCAAAAUGUUACAGUCAUUUUGGAUUGAGGUAUUUUGUUUAGUCCUUAAAUUACAAAUGUGUCUAAUUGUGUAUUUUCUCUUCAUUUGAUUUCCUUUACAAUGUCUUGGUUGAACUGUUAGAAAUGCUGAAAAUAUGAAAGAUAUGGCAGGAAGAGAAGCAGAAUUUGAAACAUAUGUGCAGAUAUGUUAUAUAAAAGCCAGAAAUAACUAUUCUUAAUCUCAUUUUACUAAUACAAAUCAUCGUCCUGUACCAAGGAGAGAGUGGAAUUAUGUGCAGUGAAAGAUCACCAGGGAGACUCUUAUUUAACAAAUUCCAUGCCUGAAAACAGGAUAGCAUCUUGAAUUCAGCACACCUACUCAGACCUACAAUGGAUGUCGAAAUUCUACACCCCCCUGAUUGUGAAAGUUGUUUUACUUGUUCCUCAUUGAAGGCCAGAGGGAUGCAAAUGGACCAGAGGGAGCAAACAAGAUGCUACAUGGACAAAAUCAUGAUUUAGUUGAGAUGCCAAGAUUGAAUCCAAGCUAAGAAGGAAACUCUUUUAUGUGUUAUAUGGGCCAUUAUAAAUUAAUAGU